UCCAAUCGGAGUUCGUUUGAGCCGGUUCCCCGCUGUUCCCCAAUUUUUAAGUGUUCCCCAAUGAACCUUCCCCUAUAUAUAUAUACAUAUAUAUAUAUAUGUAUGUAUAUAUAUAUAUAUGUAUAUUAGAAACUAAAUAAAAGUAAUGUGAUAACAUAUCCGGUUAGGCUCACGAGUCUAAACCAGCUCAAUAAGUGAAACUUGGGCUCAAGCUCGUUUAUUUAAUAAGUUGGAUUCAAUUGAUGCUCGAGCUAUUGCUCAUGCUUGUUUAAGCUCGAAAUAAUUCAAUAUUUUUCUGAGCCAAUCUUGAGUAACUCACGAGCGAUUAAGCUAGUUUACACUCCUAUUUGUAAGUCUCGUAAAGAGUAAUGUACGACAAUCUGAUGAACUAUUGGAAGGAACUCCCAUCUCCUAUCUAUACAUAAGCUAGCCAAGUGUGGUCGACUGUCACUGCAAUAAUAUGGUUUUUUAUCCCAACAGUUGGAGAGGUUCAACUGCUUAACCCGUGAGUUGAAUAUUUAUAAAUGAGAGUGCAAGAAUAAGAUCUACUCAACAAGUUUCCAAUAUGGGUAUGAUAACAAAGACAAAGCAUCUCUGAGAACUCACUUUGCUAAAUUACAUGGUGAGUUGGACACUUCGAACUUGCGGUGCACAAUUGAUUUCUUUUAUAGGCAUUAUAUAGUUCUUAACUGUAACCUUCGAAAAGAAGGAGUUCUGUAAUUCAAAUUCACAUAACCUAUAUUUCUUUUAAAUGCAUUCUAUAGUUCUUAACUAUAAGUUAUAACCUUCAAAGAAAAAGUUCUUAAAUUCAAAAUGACAUAACUUAUAUUUCUUUUAUAUCCAUUCUAUAUAGCUCUUAACUCUAACCUUCUAAAACAAAGAGUUAAUAAAUCCAAAAUCAAGUGGUACAUCAGCCAGAUGAGCAGGGAAAUCCAUAGAGGGUGAGCUUCCCCACUCUGUGAACAAAUUCGAUUCAGAGGUAACUGGGGAGAUAGAGUAUGACCAAGCAAGAAAAAAUAAAUUUACAACUUGUACAACAUUCACGCAACAUGCAAUGUGAUGGGAAAGUAAACGAAUUUCAAAAUACCUCUUUUUGGAAAUAAUGUUUUCGCCCUGAU
rnacentral:lncRNA from 1 species